rnacentral:rRNA from 1 species
AGCAGCCGCCGCGGUAAUACGUAGGGUGCGAGCGUUAAUCGGAAUUACUGGGCGUAAAGCGUGCGCAGGCGGUUGUGUAAGACAGGUGUGAAAUCCCCGGGCUUAACCUGGGAACUGCGCUUGUGACUGCACAGCUAGAGUAUGGCAGAGGGGGGUGGAAUUCCACGUGUAGCAGUGAAAUGCGUAGAGAUGUGGAGGAACACCGAUGGCGAAGGCAGCCCCUGGGCCAAUACUGACGCUCAUGCACGAAAGCGUGGGGAGCAAACAGGAUUAGAUACCCGCGUAGUCCCUGUCUCUUAUACA